GCGGUAAUACAGAGGGUCCUAGCGUUAUCGGAAUCACUGGGCUUAAAGGGUGCGCAGGCGGACACGCAAGUAUCUUGUGAAAUCCCACGGCUCAACCGUGGAAUCGCUCGGUAAACUGCGUGUCUUGAGCCCGACAGGGGUCAUCGGAACGGUUGGUGGAGCGGUGAAAUGCGUAGAUAUCAACCGGAACGCCAAAGGCGAAAGCAGAUGACUGGGUCGGCGCUGACGCUCAGGCACGAAAGCAUGGGUAGCGAACGGGAUUAGAUACCCCGGUAGUCCAUGCCCUAAACGAUGUGUACUAGGUCGAGGAGGUUUUGACGCCAUCUCGGCCGCAGCGAAAGCAUUAAGUACACCGCCUGGGGAGUACGGUCGCAAGGCUAAAACUCAAAGGAAUUGACGGGGGCUCACACAAGCGGUGGAGCAUGUGGCUUAAUUCGAGGCAACGCGAAGAACCUUAUCCUGGGCUUGACAUGCACGGAUUAGGCUCCCGAAAGGGAGUUCGACGCUCUUACGAGUGGAACGUGCACAGGUGCUGCAUGGCUGUCGUCAGCUCGUGCUGUGAAGUGUCGGGUUAAGUCCCUUAACGAGCGAAACCCCUGCCGUUAGUUGCUAACAGGUGAUGCUGAGGACUCUAACGGGACUGCCGGUGUCAAACCGGAGGAAGGUGGGGAUGACGUCAAGUCCUCAUGGCCUUUACGCCCAGGGCUGCACACGUGCUACAAUGGUGUGGACAGAGCGAAGCAAUACCGUAAGGUGGAGCAAAUCGCUUAAACCACGCCCCAGUUCGGAUUGUGGUCUGCAACUCGACCACAUGAAGUUGGAAUCGCUAGUAAUCGCGCAUCAG
rnacentral:rRNA from 1 species